rnacentral:rRNA from 1 species
GAUGAACGCUGCCAGAAUGCUUAACACAUGCAAGUCAACUUGAACUUCGGUUUGGGUGGCGGACGGGUGAGUAACGCGUAAAGAACUUGCCUCACAGUUAGGGACAACAUUUGGAAACGAAUGCUAAUACCCGAUAUUAUGAUUUUAGGGCAUCCUAGAAUUAUGAAAGCUAUAUGCGCUGUGAGAGAGCUUUGCGUCCCAUUAGCUAGUUGGAGAGGUAACGGCUCACCAAGGCGAUGAUGGGUAGCCGGCCUGAGAGGGUGAACGGCCACAAGGGGACUGAGACACGGCCCUUACUCCUACGGGAGGCAGCAGUGGGGAAUAUUGGACAAUGGACCAAGAGUCUGAUCCAGCAAUUCUGUGUGCACGAUGAAGUUUUUCGGAAUGUAAAGUGCUUUCAGUUGGGAAGAAAAAAAUGACGAUACCAACAGAAGAAGUGACGGCUAAAUACGUG